rnacentral:lncRNA from 1 species
GUCUUUUAACAUUUAUGGUUAAAGAUAUAGAUUGCUGCUGUGGCUGGGCUCUAACCCAGGCUUGUGAAAGGAUCCAAUUAAAAGACUGCUAAAAAGAGGUUGAAAUGUCAUGAGCCUGGAGGCCUUCUGGUCUCUCAGAACAAGGAUGCAGAAUCAGGGCUAGUUCAAGAACCCCACUGCAUGAGGUUAAAGUCUACGUAGUAGGUGAGCCAUUGUAGAAGUCCCUGUGGAAUCUCUCCAAGGCUUCAGUGAUUUGCCUUUUUUUUUUUUU